UACGGGGGGGAGCAAGCGUUUGUUCGGAUUUACUGGGCGUAAAGGGCGCGUAGGCGGCACGGCAAGUCGGGAGUGAAAGCCCGGGGCUCAACCCCGGAGGGUCUUCCGAAACUGCCGGGCUAGAGUGCGGAAGAGGCAACCGGAAUUCCCAGUGUAGCGGUGAAAUGCGUAGAUAUUGGGAAGAACACCGGAGGCGAAGGCGGGUUGCUGGGCAUUAACUGACGCUGAGGAGCGAAAGCAUGGGGGAGCGAACAGG
rnacentral:rRNA from 1 species